GUGAACGCUGGCGGUAGGCCUAACACCUGCAAGUCGAACGGCAGCACAGUAAGAGCUUGCUCUUACGGGUGGCGAGUGGCGGACGGGCGAGGAAUACAUCGGAAUCUACUUUUUCGUGGGGGAUAACGUAGGGAAACUUACGCUAAUACCGCAUACGACCUACGGGUGAAAGCAGGGGAUCUUCGGACCUUGCGCGAUUGAAUGAGCCGAUGUCGGAUUAGCUAGUUGGCGGGGUAAAGGCCCACCAAGGCGACGAUCCGUAGCUGGUCUGAGAGGAUGAUCAGCCACACUGGAACUGAGACACGGUCCAGACUCCUACGGGAGGCAGCAGUGGGGAAUAUUGGACAAUGGGCGCAAGCCUGAUCCAGCCAUACCGCGUGGGUGAAGAAGGCCUUCGGGUUGUAAAGCCCUUUUGUUGGGAAAGAAAAGCAGCAGGUUAAUACCCCGCUGUUCUGACGGUACCCAAAGAAUAAGCACCGGCUAACUUCGUG
rnacentral:rRNA from 1 species